rnacentral:rRNA from 1 species
AAUGAACGUUGGCGGCGUGGAUUAGGCAUGCAAGUCGAGCGAGAAUCCCCGCAAGGGGAGGAAAGCGGCGAAAGGGAUAGUAACACGUAGGUACCUACCCCGGGCCUGGAUAGCGGCGGGAAACUGCCAUUAAUACCAGAUAACGUCCCCGGACCAAAGGUGUGAUUCCGUCUGGGGAGGGGCCUGCGUCCUAUCAGCUAGUUGGUGAGGUAAUGGCCCACCAAGGCUUUGACGGGUAGCGGGUGUGAGAGCACGACCCGCAUCACUGGGACUGAGACACUGCCCAGACACCUACGGGUGGCUG